AUGCCGGCCCCUCGCAAACGCCGAGCAGAGGUUCCUCAGAACUCAAACUUCUCUUUUCCAAAGGCGGGUCUUAUUCGUCAACCGCUUAAUCCUUCCGAUUCAAAUUAUCAGGGAACCUCUCACUCCUCCUCCGGCAACUCUACUGGGACUCAGAUUCCUCUCUUCAAAGUCGCUCCUAGCGGUAUAGCCAAACCCAGCAAGAAAUUGAAGAUGAAUAAGCCGACCGAAGACCCCAAGGUUAUUGAGCUGGAGAAACAAAUCAUAUCUGAAGCUUCUCAUCACACUCCUGAGGCUGCUGCUGAUGACCCACCACCAGAGACUCACGACGUCACGGUGGAUCCAAUGGGUGUUGACCCAUCCAGCACUAAGCCGCACAGUCCCAUAAAACCUGCUGAAGAGCCUCCUUCAUAA
rnacentral:rRNA from 1 species